AAUGAACGCUGGCGGCAGGCCUAACACAUGCAAGUCGAGCGAGGUAGCAAUACCUAGCGGCGUACGGGUGAGUAACGCGUGGGAACGUACCCUUUGCUUCGGAAUAGCCCCUGGAAACGGGGAGUAAUACCGGAUGAGCCCUACGGGGGAAAGAUUUAUCGGCAAAGGAUCGGCCCGCGUUGGAUUAGGUAGUUGGUGGGGUAAUGGCCUACCAAGCCGACGAUCCAUAGCUGGUUUGAGAGGAUGAUCAGCCACACUGGGACUGAGACACGGCCCAGACUCCUACGGGAGGCAGCAGUGGGGAAUCUUAGACAAUGGGCGCAAGCCUGAUCUAGCCAUGCCGCGUGAUCGAUGAAGGCCUUAGGGUUGUAAAGAUCUUUCGUGGGGGAAGAUAAUGACG
rnacentral:rRNA from 1 species